CCGAGUUCCUAAGCUCAUCCAACCCUUGUGAACUUACCUAAAACAUUGCCCUCGGCGGGACUCAGACGCGCCCUGGCCUACAACGGGCCGCCGGCGCCGCCAGAGGAACCCUAACCUCUGAUUUUAUAAUCGUUUUCUCUGAGGUCGAAACCAAAGCAAAAUAAUCA
rnacentral:misc_RNA from 1 species